UUUCGCAACGGUUUAAUACGCAUCAUUCUCAGUGUGCAAGGUUUCUGUGCGUGACCAAUUUUUAGGAUGAUAAAUAUGAAAAAACAUGAAAAUUUCGGGUUCAUUAUGCAAGGACCUUAACAACGAUCUCUUGCUUGUAUAUACUCUUGUGGGCGGAGCAAUGAAGGGAAGGGUGUGUUUGUUUAGGUUGAAAUUGCUUACUGCACCUUUAAGGGGAAUAUUGACUUGACUUUACGAUCAAAACAAAGUCAUAUAGGUUUGGAACAACUUAAGGAUGAGUAAAUGAUGGAAUUUUUAUUUUUGGGUGAACUAUCCCUUUUAAGAGGACCGCAAUAUGGCAAAAAAAAAAAAUCAGUCUCUGUAAUAUGUAAUUGCAGCAGGCAUACGGAAAAGUAAAUUCUGGUAAAUAUUUGCAUCAAGAACACUGAAAAUGUACCUUUUUCGGGUGACAGAUCAUUAACAUAGACACAAAUGGUUAGUUAAACCUGCCUCCUCCCUCAGAUGCUGGAACUGCUGAAUUAAUACAUUCUAUAAAAGGCAUUUGACGAUUUAGCUUAAGAUUAUUGUGCUACUCUGAUACUAAGUGUAAGUUUAAAAAGGUUUGUUUACGGAAGCAGCUACUGUAGCAGAAUUCGAGGCAUAUCAUUUAAGACAUUCAGUGUGUGAAUAUAAUACAGUUUCAUCUGAGAUUUCAGACAUGCUGCUGUUGCAUUGAAAUAACUGUUCAAAUGUGGUUCAAAUACUGUGGUUUGGAUGCUAACAUCAAUACAACGUUUGGCCCUAGUGAUAUACACAUGAAAGCUCAUUGAGUGUUGAACAAGAGUAAUACCCCAUCAUGUCUUAAUUCAGGACACUGAAAGGCACAGAAUCCAGACCAGUGAGCUAAAAGGAAUGAGGAAGGCAAACUAGAGCAGCUCUCCCCCUGGGCUGGCAUGACAUAGUGAUGAUAGGAAGAGCCUCCAGGCUUGUUGCGCCAGUGUUGUGUCAGGGUUAGCCAGGUGUUCUCCAACCCUGUGCAUACAUGUAGCAGUUCUAGAUGUUUAUCAAUGAAGUAUGAUCUAGGUAAGGCUGGCAUUAGAGCUGCUAGUAUUGCUGUUUCUCUUCUGACCGCUCAACACGAUACUGGGUACCUGAAGGCCCGUCUGCACUGAGAAACUCCCAUUCCACACCUGUAGGGGGUAAAAGAGAGCAUGAGGCUGAUGUGUUUUUGUAGUCGCAAAAAAUCGUAUCACUGUGUAUACAAGUGCUGAGGAGUCUUCCUGAGCUUAAAUUCAGAUAAUGGUGACGGGUGUUUCAUUUACGACAUGUGCUGCAAGCAGUAGACCAAUCACGACAGACUCGGCCAUCUUGACAUCCUUGCAGAAUCCUUUAUUUUUUUUACAGUCUAUGUUUCAGACACUGUGAGAAAAGAGGUGAUGCUGCAAUGUAUAUUUUGAGAAAAUGUAAGUGUCUUUUGACUUUGGAUGCAUGUAAACCUAUGGCAGACGUAACCUUUAAAAUAGCAUAAUUGUGGCACUAUAAAAUCACUGCAUAAAGCAAUGCUCUUGCAACCAUACAUAUGCAGUCAAACGUGUUAUGACUUGUAUUUUUUUCUGCGCAUCUUGUAUCAUGACCUGGCAUUUUUAUGAUGAAGUGUCAAGUUAAAAAUAGACCUCUUCUUUCUGUUCCGUUCCGCUCAGUCAAGAUGUGUUGAAUGCAAGAAUGCAUCUUACGUAAAGGACUCUGAAACACAUCUGAUUGGCUUAAUUAUACAAGGCUCAUACAGUCUGAGUAGCUGACAAGACUGUGUUCAAAAUAUCCCUAAUUUAUGAGUGAUUUGUUUGUAAAAUACAAAAUGAGCCACAGUAUAUUGUAUCUUACCAUAAAGGCUGGUAUUACAGGCUGCUGGAACUUGGUUCUGAAGGUAUGAAGGAGAGUUUUGGUUCUGGAGUUGUAAAAAGACAAUGUGCCUGAAAUAGGUGAGGUAAAACAAGAACAAACUAGUUAGUAGUUACUAAUUAGUGGUCGACUGAAUGGUUAAUUCCAAUAACUCAAAGAGCGAUGACCAAUGGAAGAUAUAAAUUACGUAAUGUGAUAAUUGAUAAAUGUAUAUUAGCUGUAAUUUAAAGAUAGAAAAUAACAAAAAACAAAUGUUUUGACAUAUUAUUAAAUAAAUUAGGAAGAACCAAUUUAAAAAUGAAAUAAUAUAAAAAAUAAACAGAUUUAUACUUUAUAUGAAAACUUAUUGAUUCUGUAAUCACAUUUGUGUAUUUUUCACAAAUAAAGAAAUUUAGACAAAAAAAAAAA